AAGCGGUGAGCAUGUGGUUUAAUUCGAUGCAACGCGAAGAACCUUACCUGGGCUUGACAUCUGGGGAAUCCCCUGGAAACAGGGAGUGCCUUUCGGGAGCCCCAAGACAGGUGCUGCAUGGCUGUCGUCAGCUCGUGUCGUGAGAUGUUGGGUUAAGUCCCGCAACGAGCGCAACCCUUGUCUUUAAUUGCCAUCAUUCAGUUGGGCACUUUAAAGAGACUGCCGGUGUUAAGCCGGAGGAAGGUGGGGAUGACGUCAAGUCCUCAUGGCCUUUAUGCCCAGGGCUACACACGUGCUACAAUGGGUGGUACAGAGGGCUGCGAAGCCGCGAGGUGGAGCGAAUCCCAGAAAACCUGUCUCAGUCCGGAUUGAAGUCUGCAACUCGACUUCAUGAAGGCGGAAUCGCUAGUAACCGCGAAUCAGCAGGUCGCGGUGAAUACGUUCCCGGGCCUU
rnacentral:rRNA from 1 species